rnacentral:lncRNA from 1 species
CUUCUAUAUUCAACCAUGUAUCUUUCAUUGCCGUGGAGUUUUGUAUCUUAGAAAGUAUUAUCUGAAACAGCAGUGACUUACAGACUUAUAAUCCAGAAGAAAAAUAAGGAGAAUUUUGAUUGUGGACUUUCUAAUUGAAAUUAUUUUUAAAAAACUGGACAUAGGUUAAAUUACAUAUAAGGAAUAUGAUGGCACAAGAAUUAUUAUCAACAUUGUUUUAAAUUCGACAGCACCAGAAAAAAAUCGACAAUAGUAAAAGCAACAGAAUUUUUAGAUGUAAAGCUGAAUGGAAAUACUGUUUCGAAUUUGAAGGAAAAUUGGAAAGAAAAUGAGCAGUGAAAAUGGAAUGACCCCUGCCUUAGUGACCAUUGUAUCAAUGCCAUUUAUUGUACUGAUGUUAGCAUUCUGUUUCGCCUGCAGGACGUCCUACAGGACAGAGUCCAGGCCCAUACAGGACAUAGUAGAAUCACUAAGAACCAUCAAAAUUCAGAAGUUUAAUGAUCAGCAGCAGAAUACCUAAAAGAAGGAUUAUAUUUUAUAUAUUUCUAUAUUGUGUUUUUAUUUUUGUUCCUUCUGUUGUGUUAUUAGAUUUUGGAUUUCGAAAAACACAGAACAUAGUUUAUAUAGAAUUGUAUAGGUAAGAUUUUGCUAUAAAUUUACAUCAAAGUUUUACAAUUUAAUAACAAUGGGUCCUAAGAGAAACAUUCCUUCAUUAACGUAUGUAUUGUUGUAGACUUUGUGCUCUUUUUUUUUAAUUUUUAGCUGAAAAUCAUUAUUUCAUUUAGGUUGAUGAAAAAAACAAUGUAUGAUGCCUCUCAAAAAGUACUAGAAUCAAUAUUUUUUGUAAUUUUAUAAAUCGCCAUUUCUGCAAAAAUCGAAUGGAAUUCAUUCGACUUUUCGAAUAGAUAUAAAUUAAACAAGAAGAUGCAAGACAUAAAAUUAGCAUAUGGCGACUAUCAUGUUCUGAGUCCUUUUAUUUUUUGUAAGUCAAGUUUGAAUUGAUACGACAGUUUCAUUGAUUUUAAUCGUAUAAAAAUCCAGCUUUUGUCACCUGUAGAUUUUUUUAGACAAAUUAAGCGCUUGAUUUCAGUUAAAGGUAAAUUAGAAAUUUGGAAAGAUGAGGGAUAUAUCAGAGCCGUUGUUUAUUAUGAAUCUACGGUGACAAGAAUAACAAUCUACAGAUGGUAUACUUUACAAUUACUCUUCAGAAUAGCCAAAACAGUGUGUCAAAGAACGAAACUGUGGUAUCGUUGAUGUUAUUCGGCGCUUUGCAUUUGCGCCGAUCUGCAUUUCAUUUAGGGCGAUGUUUUCUUUCAAUUGCGCAUUUUGUGUUCAGCUAAACUACAGGUAAAUGUGGUUUUCUAUUUAUCAUUAUAAAUUUCUUCCGUUAGCCAGUUGUUCAUAUGUUGUGAAUUGCCAUUUAUAACAUGCAUAUAACUGGUUUCCCCUGCCCAACACGGGGAGGUGGAAGUAGGAUUUCGGGCAGGAUAAGUAAAAAAAGAUAAAAGCAGUUUUCUGUUCACAUCCACUAAAACCAUAGAUUAAAAAGCACAAUAUUUAAAAAAAUAAAAAUAAUACUGAAUACAAUAAAUUAUAGAUCAGUUCUUGCCGAGUAUUUAUAUGCUACAAAUACCAAUGUACUUCUUAUUGUAUUCCAUCUAGUCUAUCGAUGAUCAGAGAAAUGACCUCUCGGCUCGUUUCGGUGUGCAAUAUGUCCAUCGUGUAACAACGAAGUUUCCUAACAAUAUGAACCAAGAUUAACUUAAACAUAAGUCAACACCGCUUAUAUCCAGAUUUUACCAAUAUACAUUCUAGGUAAAGUACAUGUACAUGUAUUUACUUACCCCUGUUAAAAUACAAGUGCAGCAAAUAUAGAAUAUCGCUUGUGUAAAAAAAAAUUAGAUAUGCGCUAAUGAAGAAUUUAAUUGGCGCAAAUGAAAGAUCGAACAUUUUUUUUAAAUCGGUGCAAAUGUCAUUCGCCCAUGUCAAUAAAUUCCAAAAUGUUAAAACAGGAUGACUUACAUCUAAAAAUUCAUGGGUCAUCUUUUUGUGUCAGCAUACAAUUUUUUUUUUAACAAAAAACCUCGCAGACAUAUCCUCUUGUCGUUCUUCGUCUAAAGUCCUACAUAUGAAGUUCAUAAUUCUCAUAAUAAGAAUAAAAAUGAAUAAAAUUAUUAUAUAUAUAACAGUUACAUGUACGCAAUAAUCUUUCAGCAUUAACAUUUUUGAGACUUGCAGAAAAUAUCUUUUUAAUUGUCUUAUAUUCAUUUAAGCACUGUUUGCACUAAAAGGAAUUAGUAAAAAAAAACGCCAGUAUAUUUAUUUAAUAUAUGUUUUGCAGUACAAUUAUAGAUUUCUCUUCCUUAUAAUAUUGUCUUGUCUUGUUUUGUCUUGUCUUAUAGCUGAAAAUUAGCAGCGAUUAAAGAUUUAUUUUCAGAAACUGAGAAAAUUAAUUAAACUUUGAAAGGUUCAUUAGUUUUUAUCACAUAGAAUACAACGUAAAAUUAAUCACAAUAGAUAAAACUGUAUUUAAUAUUGCGAUACACGUGUCAUAGGAAGUUAUGGUAAGAGCUAAUUACAUCUCCCUUAUCGUGCUAACUCAAUGGAACUACAAGAGAUAUUUUUCACAACAAUGGCGUUUCAACUAUUCGUCCGUAUAAAAUGAAGCAAUAGGUUUAGUUUGAAAAAUUCAUACAAGAUAUUUUAGUAAUAUGCAGCAUGGUAGUUUGCAUAUUCCCCUAUUGCAUGUUCAAAUAUUUCGCUUGCAGACAUUUAAGAGUUAUUUUAAUAAUAAUAAGAUUUUGUAUGAUUGGCAAUAGGACAACUCUCCACACGAGACAAAACGACACAGUAAUUAACAACGAAAGGUCACCCACGGCCUUCAACAAUGAAUAAAACCCAUACGACAUUCAACAAUGAACAAAACUAAUAUCAUAAAUUAAAAUGUCUUAAGUUUAGCUCACAACAAAACAACAGCUAGUUUAUAUUCCUUGUAACAAGUACAAGAUACAUUUCCAUCCAGCGAUUUGCAUUUGCGCAAAUCAGCAUUUCUGUUCUUUCGAUUUGAGACCCAAACAUCUCGAAAAGGAUCCCAAUAACCUAUCAAUAUUUUAAACUGUUUUUGGUUCCUUAACUAAUGAUACUUCGACUUAUAGUAUCAAUUUUAAUGUCUUACAUAAAACGCAAAUCAAAAGGAAAACGAGUUCUAACCGGCCUUCUCAUAAGAUGACCGUCAUGUGGCAAUGUUAUAAUGGCACCAUUUAAAUCAUUCACGAUCACUUGAGGAAAUAUUUGAUGACUUGAGCAAAAUAACCACAAUGAACACAAAAAGAUUUGCUAAAUCAUUCAGAAGCAUCAAACAAUGGUCAUGUAAAAAAAGAAACGCGUUAAGUUUGAAUUCAUAGACAUAUUUGAAUUACUUCAGCAUUUUAAACAACAAAGCAAAAAUGUGCAACAAAAUUCAACAGAUGAAUAACAUGGACGAGAUUUAAAAAAAAAAUAAAAAAUUCCAACUUCACAUGGCAAAAUUGACCUUCAAAUAAUUUGGGUAGUCUUUUUGUGUUCACUUUGGUGAUAUUGCGCAAGACCCUUUCGUAUACAGCACGUUGAAAGUUUCUAUCACGUGACAUCACGUAAUUCAAAUUAGGGUUUUGUGACCGUGACUGUUAUCAACAUAUGUAUGAAGGCAUCAAAACAUAUAACUAAUAAUGUGUUAGGUAUAGAAAGCAAAGGAGAGAGGCAUGAAUUGAUGCAGCAGAGAAGAAAAACCCAC